CCAUUGUUUUCAGUGCAGGCAGCGAUCUAAUGGUGGAACUGAUGUGGUGUGGCUAAGCUGGCAGCCAAGUGAAUGCAUGUGUGCUUCUCCUAGUUCGUCUAGUACUCCUGGUCCUUGUCCUCCUCCGCAAACCUCAUCCUCGUCGCCAUCCUUCAAGCUCUUCAGCUGCAACCGCCGGCUGUCUUUUAUUUUAAGCAGCCAACGCGGAAAAAUACCUGAAACAAAAACAAAAGUAAAAGCAAAAAGAAUGCCAGGGGAGUGGAAAAUGGCUGGAAAUCAAACACAAAACCUGGCCAAGGCAGCCCCUGUGUAUGGUGGGAAAACCUAAAACGGGAAAAUCUCCG
ensembl:ncRNA lncRNA:CR44663 long non-coding RNA:CR44663